rnacentral:lncRNA from 1 species
GCAAGGGCAAGAAGGAAGUCGUCCCUUUUUCUCUUCUUCCUGCUCUGCUCUGAAGCUGCCAUGUGAUCCCGGCGAGAGAAGACGCCAGCAGCUAGCGUCCGAUAAGAUAAUUCUUUAUGGUUGAUACUUAAGACUGAGCUAGCAAGUAAGAAAUCCUACUCAGUUGGCCAAGCAGCAUUUGUACCUAAUAGCCAUUUUCUCUGUUGCACCCGGAGAGCUGAGGUCUACAUGCAAGGGAGAAGAAGCAUGGUCCUCAGGCAGUGGAUCUGCUAGUGCUCUGGUGAGACACAUGAAUCCCCUCUAAUGCUAUGGAUGACAGCCAUGAUGGGAUGUGGCAAUUGACAACAUCCCAGAGUAGGCAUCUGGGUGAUGAAGCUUAAGGUCAUCUGAAGAAUCCUGGCCCUCUUGCCUCUAGUCACGGUGGCUGGAGGGAGUAGCUAUUAGCUCCGCAGUCUGUGUAUACCCAGCUGUAUCAAGCACUACUCUGAUCCAGGACUUCGCAAAGUCAACAGGUCUACUGGACAACAUGAACAACACCCUCCAUUCCAACUUUCACAUCUGAAAGAGGUGGAAAGGAACUGAGGGCUGAGCAGCCGGAACCCGCCUCUGUAUGUUUGCCAUCAGGGUCUGAGGCAGAGUUCUGUGGAGGAGCUCUGUAUUCCCUUUCUGCCCCACUCUCCUCCAAUGCCUCACUGGGUCAAGCCAAGGAAUUUUAGGGCAUCCAGAAUGUGGGAGCAGCUACAGAGAGCCCAUCAGAGGACCCUGGAAGGUUCAGGGACUUAUGCACAACCUCUGACCAAAUGCAAGCUAAACAAAAUUGCUCUGUCCCAGAGUAAACCUAGGGCAACUCAAGGAAGCCAGGUGCAAAGAGUCACUCUUGGUUGCCUGGGAACACCUUUUCAUGAAGGACAACCAGGAGCUGUUAAUCCUGGCAGAAGACAGGGAAUGACCACAAACUCACACACCACGUAGGCAGGAUCUAGGCUAUACUCAAGGGCCCUGUGUUAAAUAGAAAAUGGAAUUGGCUGAGAGUGUAUGCUAUUUGGAGCUGGCAGUAGUCCUGCAAUCCUAGCUACUCAGUGGGCAACUUAUUGGACAAUUUAGUGAGAUCAAUAAAAAGGAAGAAAAUGGGGUUGGGAAUAUAGCUUAGUGUCUGUGAGGUUCUAGGUUCAAUUCCCAGUGCUGAGAAGGAAGGGAAGGAGGGAAAGAGCAGAAAGACCAAGCUUGGCUUGGCUUGGCGUGGGUUACUUGGCACUUUUGGCCUCUGGCCCAUUUUAUCCUGCUAUGCAUCUUCUGAUGUAUGCAGUGCAUGUGAGAUCCAUUUAUUCCACUAGUUACUGAGCACUGUCUGGACACUGC